rnacentral:rRNA from 1 species
GACGAACGCUGGCGGCGUGCUUAACACAUGCAAGUCGAACGGUAAGGCCCUUCGGGGUACACGAGUGGCGAACGGGUGAGUAACACGUGGGUGAUCUGCCCUGAACUUCGGGAUAAGCCUGGGAAACUGGGUCUAAUACCGGAUAGGACCACUGCCUGCAUGGGUGGUGGUGGAAAGCUUUUGCGGUGUGGGAUGGGCCCGCGGCCUAUCAGCUUGUUGGUGGGGUGAUGGCCUACCAAGGCGACGACGGGUAGCCGGCCUGAGAGGGUGACCGGCCAGACUGGGACUGAGAUACGGCCCAGACUCCUACGGGAGGCAGCAGUGGGGAAUAUUGCACAAUGGGCGCAAGCCUGAUGCAGCGAAGCCGCGUGAGGGAUGACGGCCUUCGGGUUGUAAACCUCUUUCAGCACCGACGAAGCGCAAGUGACGGUAGGUGCAGAAGAAGGACCGGCCAACUACGUGCCAGCCGCCGCCGUAA